UUUUCGGUACCGUAAGGUGGUACCAGAAUAAAGGGCUGGGCAAGACCGGUGCCAGCCGCCGCGGUAAUACCGGCAGCCCAAGUGAUGGCCCGAUCUUAUUGGGCCUAAAGCGUCCGUAGCUGGCCGCGCAAGUCCAUCGGGAAAUCCACCUGCUCAACAGGUGGGCGCCCGGUAGAAACUGCGUGGCUUGGGACCGGAAGGCGCGACGGGUACGUCCGGGGUAGGAGUGAAAUCCCGUAAUCCUGGACGGACCGCCGAUGGCGAAAGCACGUCGCGAGGACGGAUCCGACAGUGAGGGACGAAAGCCAGGGUCUCGAACCGGAUUAGAUACCCGGGUAGUCCUGGCCGUAAACAAUGUCUGCUAGGUGUGGCUCCCACUACGAGUGGGUGCUGUGCCG
rnacentral:rRNA from 1 species